rnacentral:rRNA from 1 species
AUUGAACGCUGGCGGCAUGCCUUACACAUGCAAGUCGAACGGUAACAGGUCUUCGGAUGCUGACGAGUGGCGAACGGGUGAGUAAUACAUCGGAACGUGCCCGAUCGUGGGGGAUAACGAAGCGAAAGCUUUGCUAAUACCGCAUAAGAUCUAUGGAUGAAAGCAGGGGACCGCAAGGCCUUGCGCGAACGGAGCGGCCGAUGGCAGAUUAGGUAGUUGGUGGGAUAAAAGCUUACCAAGCCGACGAUCUGUAGCUGGUCUGAGAGGACGACCAGCCACACUGGGACUGAGACACGGCCCAGACUCCUACGGGAGGCAGCAGUGGGGAAUUUUGGACAAUGGGCGAAAGCCUGAUCCAGCCAUGCCGCGUGCAGGAUGAAGGCCUUCGGGUUGUAAACUGCUUUUGUACGGAACGAAAAGACUCUUUCUAAUAAAGAGGGUCCAUGACGGUACCGUAAGAAUAAGCACCGGCUAACUACGUGCCAGCCGCCGCCGUAA